CAGCCGUAAACUAUGCUCGCUAGGUGUCAGGCAUGGCGCGACCGUGUCUGGUGCCGCAGGGAAGCCGUGAAGCGAGCCACCUGGGAAGUACGGCCGCAAGGCUGAAACUUAAAGGAAUUGGCGGGGGAGGCACCACAACAGGUGGAGCCUGCGGUUUAAUUGGAUUCAACGCCGGACAUCUCACCGGAUAAGACAGCUGAAUGAUCGUCAAUCUGAAGGUUUUACAUGACUAGCUGAGAGGUGGUGCAUGGCGUAGACGUCU
rnacentral:rRNA from 1 species